GCUGGGCAUGGUAGUGUGUACCUGUAAUCCCAGUGAUUUGGGAGGCUGAGGCAGGAGGAUUGCAAGGUCUAGGCCAGACUCAGCAACUUAGUGAGAACCUGUCUCAA
rnacentral:sRNA from 1 species